CAGGAAAUGCCGUGCGUUUUCAUUUGCCGUCCCUCUCGAAGAUGAAGAAAGUACAACAGUCCGUGUCUCUAUCAUUUACAUCGCAUCCAUUCACACAACUUUUUUUUCUGCCGGAUCUCAGGAGGGUACGAACAUGAUCUGACGCUCAAGUGAGGGGGGCGAAGCCUUGCUCCUGUACCGCUGUCCUCGCCGUCACCGGCUCCAGCUCCAAGCUCGUGCCCGAGAGGGAUUUUUUUUUUUUUUUUCAUGUGCAGACUUACCAGAGCGUCUCUCCCUGCCCAGCAUGGAGUACGCGGGGGUGCCGUCUUUGCCGAAGCGCGUGAUUCUCGCGUCGAUGUAAUAC